rnacentral:rRNA from 1 species
GAUGAACGCUGGCGGCGUGCUUAACACAUGCAAGUCGAACGGAAAGGCCCAAGCUUGCUUGGGUACUCGAGUGGCGAACGGGUGAGUAACACGUGGGUGAUCUGCCCUGCACUUCGGGAUAAGCCUGGGAAACUGGGUCUAAUACCGGAUAGGACGAUGGUUUGGAUGCCAUUGUGGAAAGUUUUUUCGGUGUGGGAUGAGCUCGCGGCCUAUCAGCUUGUUGGUGGGGUAAUGCCUACCAAGGCGUCGACGGGUAGCCGGCCUGAGAGGGUGUACGGCCACAUUGGGACUGAGAUACGGCCCAGACUCCUACGGGAGGCAGCAGUGGGGAAUAUUGCACAAUGGGCGCAAGCCUGAUGCAGCGACGCCGCGUGGGGGAUGACGGCCUUCGGGUUGUAAACUCCUUUCGCUAGGGACGAAGCGUUUUUGUGACGGUACCUGGAGAAGAAGCACCGGCUAACUACGUG